UACAGAGGUCCCAAGCGUUGUUCGGAUUUACUGGGCGUAAAGGGUGCGUAGGUGGUGAGGUAAGUUUGGUGUGAAAUCUCCGGGCUUAACCUGGAAACUGCACUGAAUACUAUCUUGCUAGAGGGUCGGAGGGGAAACUGGAAUUCUCGGUGUAGCAGUGAAAUGCGUAGAUAUCGAGAGGAACACCCGUGGCGAAGGCGAGUUUCUGGACGACUCCUGACACUGAGGCACGAAAGCUAGGGGAGCAAACAGG
rnacentral:rRNA from 1 species